AAUAAUUUUAUUUUUCAUUUUUUCGUAUCCAACGCUUGACCAUUCGUCUUAUUUAAAAAAUUUAUAAAAAAACUAAAAAAAAUUAGUCACGUAUAAAAUACUAUUCAUAUUUUAUCAUCUAGUAACAAUAGAAAUAUUAAUCGCAAAAAAAUUCAAAUAAGACGAAUGGUCAAACGUUGGACACGGAAAAAC
rfam:Oryza brachyantha chromosome 9, whole genome shotgun sequence.